rnacentral:rRNA from 1 species
CAGCAGCCGCGGGAAUACAGAGGAUGCAAGCGUUAUCCGGAAUGAUUGGGCGUAAAGCGUCUGUAGGUGGCUUUUCAAGUCCGCCGUCAAAUCCCAGGGCUCAACCCUGGACAGGCGGUGGAAACUACCAAGCUGGAGUACGGUAGGGGCAGAGGGAAUUUCCGGUGGAGCGGUGAAAUGCGCUGAGAUCGGAAAGAACACCAACGGCGAAGGCACUCUGCUGGGCCGACACUGACACUGAGAGACGAAAGCUAGGGGAGCAAAUGGGAUUAGAGACCCCAGUAGUCCCUGUCUCUUAUAC